rnacentral:rRNA from 1 species
AUUGAACGCUAGCGGCAGGCCUAACACAUGCAAGUCGAACGGAGCGGCGGACGGGUGAGUAAUGCAUAGGAAUCUGCCUGGUAGUGGGGGAUAACGUCCGGAAAGGGGAGCUAAUACCGCAUACUAUCAGAUGAGCCUAGGUCGGAUUAGCUAGUUGGUGGGGUAAAGGCCCACCAAGGCGACGAUCCGUAACUGGUCUGAGAGGAUGACCAGUCACACUGGGACUGAGACACGGCCCAGACUCCUACGGGAGGCAGCAGUGGGGAAUAUUGGACAAUGGGCGAAACCCUGAUCCAGCCAUGCCGCGUGUGCGAAGAAGGUCUUCGGAUUGUAAAGCACUUUAAGUAGGGAGGCGUUACCAACAGAAUAAGCACCGGCUAACUACGUGCCAGCAGCCGCGGUAAUUC